AACUUUCAACAAUGGGUCACUUGGUUCUGGCAUCGAUGAAGAACGCAGCGAAAUGCGAUAAGUAUUGUGAAUUGCAGAUUUCAGUGAAUCAUCGAAUCUUUGAACGCACAUUGCGCCCGCCAGUAUUCUUGCGGGCAUGCCUGUUCGAGCGUGAUUUCAACCAUCAAGCCCGAGGCUUGUGUUGGGGACCUGCGGCUGCCGCAGGCCCUGAAAAUCAGUGGCGGGCUCGCUAGUCACUCCGAGCGUAGUAAUACAUCUCGCUCUGGACGUGCAGCGUGUUCCGGCCGUUAAACACCUUAUUUACCCAAGGUUGACCUCGGAUCAGGUAGGAAGACCCGCUGAACUUAAGCAUAUCAAUAAGCGGAGGCU
rnacentral:misc_RNA from 1 species